rnacentral:rRNA from 1 species
UACGAGGGGAGCAAGCGUUGUUCGGAUUUACUGGGCGUAAAGGGCGCGUAGGCGGUCGUGACAAGUCACUUGUGAAAUCUCCGGGCUUAACUCGGAACGGUCAAGUGAUACUGUCGGACUAGAGUACAGAAGGGGGCAACUGGAAUUCUCGGUGUAGCGGUGAAAUGCGUAGAUAUCGAGAGGAACACCUGCGGCGAAGGCGGGUUGCUGGGCUGAUACUGACGCUGAUGCGGCGAAAGCCGGGGAGCGAAGCGGG